UACAGAGGUCUCAAGCGUUGUUCGGAUUCAUUGGGCGUAAAGGGUGCGUAGGCGGCGCGGUAAGUCGGGUGUGAAAUCUCGGAGCUUAACUCCGAAACUGCAUUCGAUACUGCCGUGCUUGAGGACUGGAGAGGAGACUGGAAUUUACGGUGUAGCGGUGAAAUGCGUAGAUAUCAGGAGGAACACCGGUGGCGAAGGCGGGUCUCUGGGCAACUACUGACGCUGAGGAGCGAAAGCGUGGGGAGCGAACAGG
rnacentral:rRNA from 1 species